ACCAUGACACACACAUAUGAAAGAGUUAAUAAUAUAUAUGCCCAUAACUCAUCAUUACAAACAUAGAUCAAGCAAGUGAAAAACAUCCCUCUCCAAGUCAACAAAACCCCAACAUGAAACCCUUGUGUACCUUAAUCAUUGUUGUGAUCUUUGCCCUAACAUUGAUCCUUUCCCUUGAGGUAAAUGUUGCAAAAGCUAGAACUUACCCAUCUUCAUCCAAUGUUUCAAAAAUGCUUUCAUCUUUCCAAUCUCUUUCACAUAAAAAAGGGUCAUCAAAAUCAUCUCAAGAAGUAUCUGCAAGCCUAAAAAGAAUACCACCUAGCAGACCAAAUCCUACUCAAAACAAGUUAAAGCCUAGGAUAAAGGAUUGAGCAGAGAAUGGUGGUGGUGGUGGUACAUGGAGCUCUUCUAGCAUCAACUAUGUUUUGAUCUAUAGCUUUAUUUUUUUGACUGUUGCUUAGCUUUAUAUUCUUAGAUUUUGUUAGUCAUAGUGAUAUAUAUAGUUGAGUUUAGAUUUCAAUGUAUGUUCUCUUAUUAAUUACCUUGAUGUUUUAGAUUAUAGAUAGUAUAGGAGCUAAUGAAUGUAAAGGAGAAAAAUAGUAGCCAUCAUAAUAUUAACCUCAAAAUUGUUGAGUUUUUGCAA